rnacentral:rRNA from 1 species
AGCGAACGCUGGCGGCAGGCUUAACACAUGCAAGUCGAGCGGGCAUCCUUGUGGUGUCCGCGGCAGACGGGUGAGUAACGCGUGGGAACGCGCCCUUCGGUUCGGAAUAACUCAGGGAAACUUGAGCUAAUACCGGAUACGUGCGAGAGCAGAAAGGUUUAUCUGCCGAAGGAUCGGCCCGCGUCUGAUUAGCUAGUUGGUGAGGUUACGGCUCACCAAGGCGACGAUCAGUAGCUGGUCUGAGAGGAUGAUCAGCCACACUGGGACUGAGACACGGCCCAGACUCCUACGGGAGGCAGCAGUGGGGAAUAUUGGACCAUGGGGGCAACCCUGAUCCAGCCAUGCCGCGUGAGUGAUGACGGCCUUAGGGUUGUAAAGCUCUUUUCUCCGGGACGAUAAUGACGGUACCGGAGGAAUAAGCCCCGGCUAACUUCGUG